rnacentral:rRNA from 1 species
UACGUAGGGGGCAAGCGUUGUCCGGAUUUAUUGGGAGUAAAGAGCUCGUAGGUGGUUCGGUAAGUCGGAUGUGAAAUCUCCAGGCUCAACCUGGAGGGGUCAUUCGAUACUGCCGUGACUAGAGUUCGGUAGGGGAGUGUGGAAUUCCUGGUGGAGCGGUGAAAUGCGCAGAUAUCAGGAGGAACACCCGUAGCGAAGGCGGCACUCUGGGCCGAUACUGACACUGAGGAGCGAAAGCGUGGGGAGCGAACAGG